GAUGAACGCUGGCGGCGUGCCUAAUACAUGCAAGUCGAGCGAACAGACGAGGAUCUUGCUCUUCUGACGUUAGCGGCGGGCGGGUGAGUAACACGUGGAUAACCUACCUAUAAGACUGGGAUAACUUCGGGAAACCGGAGCUAAUACCGGAUCAUAUAUUGAACCGCAUGGUUCAAUAGUCAAAGACGGUUUUGCUGUCACUUAUAGAUGGGUCCGCGCCGCAUUAGCUAGUUGGUAAGGUAACGGCUUACCAAGGCAACGAUGCGUAGCCGACCUGAGAGGGUGAUCGGCCACACUGGAACUGAGACACGGUCCAGACUCCUACGGGAGGCAGCAGUAGGGAAUCUUCCGCAAUGGGCGAAAGCCUGACGGAGCAACGCCGCGUGAGUGAUGAAGGUCUUCGGAUCGUAAAACUCUGUUAUUAGGGAAGAACAAAUGUGUAAGUAACUAUGCACGUCUUGACGGUACCUAAUCAGAAAGCCACGGCUAACUACGUG
rnacentral:rRNA from 1 species